rnacentral:lncRNA from 1 species
GGAGAGAGGAAGAAGGGGUGAGAGGGAGAAACCUGCCGCCGCUCGCCGCCUCUUUGUCUGCUCCGGGACUUGGAACAAAAGGGGGAACUCUGAUGAACUCUCUUUCCUCCCCUCUCCCCGGACGCCGGGGUAUCUCCCUCUCGCAACUUUGCCGCCGCGACUUUCUCUGCUGUCAGGCCAGGAAAAAGUGUCCAAACGCCUCGCGGACUGCAGCGGGGGAAAUGUCCCUUAAAAGUGCGACGAAGUGGGGAAGAAGGUGUAAUUACUAUUAUCAGCAUCUAUAAAGCAUCAUGCAUUUGCUGGAGUACUUCCUAGCACUGACCUCCUUCCUUCUGCGUUGUUCUUACUGGAUCUUUCUAUCAGCCAACAAUAUGGAAGUACCAAUACAAGGUCAAAUCAUUCCUGGAUUCAUCUGGAGUUACUUAACAGUUAAAUCAUUGGAAGUUUUGGUGAUACCUUUUCUAUAUGGAUUACAAUUUGAUCUCUGGGAAUUCUCCACCGUAAAAAAGUACCCUCAGGUGACUGCAGAUGUGUUAACCAGCAUGUUCGCGUAGGAGACUUUCUGGAUGGGGAAGAUUUCCAGGUGUGAAUCAUGGCAAUACAGUGAAAGACGGUGAUUUACUGCUUUUGAGGGCAUGCAUGGAUAUGAUUAACGGAUGGAAGUGCAGGACUCCAAGAUUUACUUCUUUCCCUUUCCAGCAGAGUUACCUGAGAGGAGUGAGUAAUGGGAUAAUUUGUAAUACCACAGGCCCCUUUUCAGGAGACCAGUAAUCAAAACAGGAAGAUGAAAUUGACAAGAUUUCAACUGGAAGAAUACAACUUUUGAUACUUUCUGGGUAUACCUCUUAAUUGCAAGCAGGAGAGUCUUCAGAGUUGUCCUGUUUUUGUUUUUUUUUCCCAUGGAGAUUUCUUUCCUCCCUCCCUCCCUCCCUCCCUCUCUUUCGUUUUUUUGUUUGAGACGGAGUUUCGCUGUUGUUACCCGGGCUGGAGUGCAGUGGCACGAUCUCAGCUCACGGCAACCUCUGCCACCCCACCCCCCGGGUUCAACCGAUUCUCCUGCCUCAGCUUCCCAAGUAGCUGGAUUAUAGGCGCCCGCCACCAUGCCUGGCUAAUUUUUGUAUUUUUAGUAGAGAUGGGGUUUUACUAUGUUGGCCAGGCUGGUCUCGAACUCCUGACUUCAGGUGAUCCACCCACCUCAGCCUCCCAAAGUGCUGGGAUUACAGGAGUGAGACACCAUGGCUGGCAAAUGUGAGCCACCACACCCAGUGGAGAUUGUCAUUAAAAAUGUUAGUAUGUCAGUCCUGGUUACAUCAUGCAGACACCCUGCUAAAUUUUAUACAUCUUUCCUCCAUGCUUUCUGCUGUUGAUAUUCUUAUAUUGAGACAUCAGAGAAACUUAGUGGCCUAUUUGUAGAACUCAGUUUCUUUUUACAAAGUUAAAAAAUUAUCAAGAAUUGGGAGUGGGCUGGGGGCAGUGGCUCAAUGCCUAGAAUCCCAGCACUUUGGAUGGCCGAGGCGGGUGGACAAAGAUGGUCAGAGAGAUUCUAUGACACUCACCUGGGCCAACGUGGUGAAACUCUG